AGAGUUUGAUCCUGGCUCAGGAUGAACGCUGGCGGCAUGCCUAAUACAUGCAAGUCGAACGAAGUUUCAAGGAAGCUUGCUUCCAAAGAGACUUAGUGGCGAACGGGUGAGUAACACGUAGGUAACCUGCCCAUGUGUCCGGGAUAACUGCUGGAAACGGUAGCUAAAACCGGAUAGGUAUACAGAGCGCAUGCUCAGUAUAUUAAAGCGCCCAUCAAGGCGUGAACAUGGAUGGACCUGCGGCGCAUUAGCUAGUUGGUGAGGUAACGGCCCACCAAGGCGAUGAUGCGUAGCCGGCCUGAGAGGGUAAACGGCCACAUUGGGACUGAGACACGGCCCAAACUCCUACGGGAGGCAGCAGUAGGGAAUUUUCGUCAAUGGGGGAAACCCUGAACGAGCAAUGCCGCGUGAGUGAAGAAGGUCUUCGGAUCGUAAAGCUCUGUUGUAAGUGAAGAACGGCUCAUAGAGGAAAUGCUAUGGGAGUGACGGUAGCUUACCAGAAAGCCACGGCUAACUACGUGCCAGCAGCCGCGGUAAUACGUAGGUGGCAAGCGUUAUCCGGAAUCAUUGGGCGUAAAGGGUGCGUAGGUGGCGUACUAAGUCUGUAGUAAAAGGCAAUGGCUCAACCAUUGUAAGCUAUGGAAACUGGUAUGCUGGAGUGCAGAAGAGGGCGAUGGAAUUCCAUGUGUAGCGGUAAAAUGCGUAGAUAUAUGGAGGAACACCAGUGGCGAAGGCGGUCGCCUGGUCUGUAACUGACACUGAGGCACGAAAGCGUGGGGAGCAAAUAGGAUUAGAUACCCUAGUAGUCCACGCCGUAAACGAUGAGAACUAAGUGUUGGAGGAAUUCAGUGCUGCAGUUAACGCAAUAAGUUCUCCGCCUGGGGAGUAUGCACGCAAGUGUGAAACUCAAAGGAAUUGACGGGGGCCCGCACAAGCGGUGGAGUAUGUGGUUUAAUUCGAAGCAACGCGAAGAACCUUACCAGGCCUUGACAUGGAAACAAAUACCCUAGAGAUAGGGGGAUAAUUAUGGAUCACACAGGUGGUGCAUGGUUGUCGUCAGCUCGUGUCGUGAGAUGUUGGGUUAAGUCCCGCAACGAGCGCAACCCUUGUCGCAUGUUACCA
rnacentral:rRNA from 1 species